CUGCCCCGCAGGGGCCCCCGAGUCCUGGAGAGCUCUGUCAGACAAGAUGUCCAUGGGCAGCAGACCUCUGGCCACUGCAGGCUCCAGGCACCAGAGUGAGACCCAGCAGGCUUCAGCCGGCAAGAGGGCCCCUGACUGUGGACGACUCCCUCACGGUGGUGGUCUUGGAGGGACCCCUGCUAACAGAAAGGGUGCAUCCCUGUCCAGCUUCCCGUCCUCACCCCCAAAGUCAGCGUCAGCAGCUGGCCCGCAUCGGAGGCAUUCAGAUAGGAGUCCUUGGGGACCCCCCCCAACCGACACGAACUGGAAAUGCCUUGAGUACUGAGGGAGGAGGGCUGCAGGGACAGGAGGGAGGAUGUCCUUAAACACACUUGCUGGCCCUUCUCAGGAGAAACCCUUCCUUGUCAUGGGUCGUGGUGAAGCUGUGCUCCGAGUUAAGCCAGUGACCGAAUUCCUGAGCUCAGAGGAUGGCCAGUGAAACAACUUGCUAAAAUGCUGAGACUCCCUGCACUCGCGAGACUACGAAAACACGUGCUGAAGUCAGUGAGAGCCACGGUGGCCAAAGUCUUUGCUCAGAACCAGCUGCGCAGGUCCCUCCCCCGGUUCCUCCUAGGCUGAGUACUCUGGGGUCGCAGUCUUCCUGGACGUCGCCUGUUGGUUGUUGUAGGGGUUUUAGGUGUUUUUUUUUAGGGUUGUCUUGCUGCAUUUUGUUGCGGACCACAACGCGUUGCAAUCCUAGUCAGCUCAGGGGCUUUUCAGGUAUUUGACUUAAGAGCUGAGUAGCUGGGCAGGCUGAUAAGAACAGACAAAGCGAGCUCUUUUGCAGGCUAGUAAACUUUCAUCUUAGACUACUUUGGUUCAGGUGAGGGCGGCUAAGCAGGUGGGAAGGCAGGGAGGGGGAGGCCGACAAGCAGGCAUUGGGGCCCAUCCAAGCAGGGGCCUAGUACGUCCUGUUUUUUUGUAGUUUGCUGACCUAAACCGGAUCAAGCCACCUUGUCUUGGAAAUGGACCACUGCAUGCAUUAUUUCACCUCCACCCGAGUCCAUCUCACGCUUUCCUCCCUCCUCAUGCCCCCUUGUCCCCUCAUCCUCCCAACUGCCAUGGCUUUGUGAGGCGCCCUGGGUUCCAUGGCUACCGUGUCGACCAGGGCAGCCCACCCACUUCUCACUUUGGUCUGGAGUUAGCGAGAGCGACGCUGCUUUUCUCUUGCUCUUCAGCCUGGACCUGUGAUGUGAUAGGCGUGAGAAGGAACUGUGGGUUC
rnacentral:lncRNA from 1 species